rnacentral:rRNA from 1 species
GAUGAACGCUGGCGGCGUGCCUAAUACAUGCAAGUCGAGCGAACAGAUGAGGAGCUUGCUCCUCUGACGUUAGCGGCGGACGGGUGAGUAACACGUGGAUAACCUACCUAUAAGACUGGGAUAACUUCGGGAAACCGGAGCUAAUACCGGAUAAUAUAUUGAACCGCAUGGUUCAAUAGUGAAAGACGGUUUUGCUGUCACUUAUAGAUGGAUCCGCGCCGCAUUAGCUAGUUGGUAAGGUAGCGGCUUACCAAGGCAACGAUGCGUAGCCGACCUGAGAGGGUGAUCGGCCACACUGGAACUGAGACACGGUCCAGACUCCUACGGGAGGCAGCAGUAGGGAAUCUUACGCAAUGGGCGAAAGCCUGACGGAGCAACGCCGCGUGAGUGAUGAAGGUCUUCGGAUCGUAAAACUCUGUUAUUAGGGAAGAACAAAUGUGUAAGUAACUAUGCACGUCUUGACGGUACCUAAUCAGAAAGCCACGGCUAACUACGUG